AUUGAACGCUGGCGGCAUGCCUUACACAUGCAAGUCGAACGGCAGCGGGGACUUCGGUCCGCCGGCGAGUGGCGAACGGGUGAGUAAUGUAUCGGAACGUACCAUUCAGUGGGGGAUAACUAUCCGAAAGGAUAGCUAAUACCGCAUAUUCUGUGAGCAGGAAAGCAGGGGAUCGCAAGACCUUGCGCUGAUUGAGCGGCCGAUAUCAGAUUAGCUAGGUGGUGAGGUAACGGCUCACCAAGGCUACGAUCUGUAGCGGGUCUGAGAGGAUGAGCCGCCACGCGGGGACUGAGACACGGCCCAUACUCCUACGGGAGGAAGCAGUGGGGAAUUUUGGACAAGGGGCGCAAGCCUGAUCCAGCCAGGCCGCGUGAGUGAAGAAGGCCUUCGGGUUGUAAACUGCUUUUGUACAGAACGAAAUGUCUCUGGCUAAUACCUGGGGAAGAUGACGGUACUGUAAGAAUAAGCACCGGCUAACUACGUGCCAGCAGCCGCCGUAAAAC
rnacentral:rRNA from 1 species